rnacentral:rRNA from 2 species
AUUUCCGGUUGAUCCUGCCGGACCUGACUGCUAUCGGAUUGAUACUAAGCCAUGCUAGUCUUUGUAGUAAUACAAGGCAUACGGCUCAGUAACGCGUAGUCAACCUACCCUAUGGACGGGGAUAAUCUCGGGAAACUGAGCAUAAUACCCGGCAGACCACUUAUCCUGGAAUGGUUAGUGGUUAAAAUGAUUCGUCGCCAUAGGAUGGGACUGCGGCCUAUCAGCUUGUUGGUGAGGUAAUGGCCCACCAAGGCGAUUACAGGUACGGGCUCUGAGAGGAGAAGCCCGGAGAUGGGUACUGAGACAAGGACCCAGGCCCUAUGGGGCGCAGCAGGCGAGAAAACUUUGCAAUGUGCGAAAGCACGACAAGGUUAAUCCGAGUGAUUUCUGCUAAAGGAAUCUUUUGUUAGUUCUAAAAAUACUAGUGAAUAAGGGGUGGGCAAGUUCUGGCGUCAGCCGCCGCGGUAAAACCAGCACCUCAAGUGGUCAGGAGGAUUAUUGGGCCUAAAGCAUCCGUAGCCGGCUCUGUAAGUUUUCGGUUAAAUCCAUGUGCUCAACGCAUGGGCUGCCGAAAAUACUGCAUAGCUAGGGAGUGGGAGAGGUAGACGGUACUCGGUAGGAAGGGGUAAAAUCCUUUGAUCUAUCGAUGACCACCUGUGGCGAAGGCGGUCUACCAGAACACGUUCGACGGUGAGGGAUGAAAGCUGGGGGAGCAAACCGGAUUAGAUACCCGGGUAGUCCCAGCUGUAAACGAUGCAGACUCGAUGA